UACGAGGGGGGGCGAGCGUUGUUCGGAAUUAUUGGGCGUAAAGGGUGCGUAGGCGGUUUGGUAAGUCUUGUGUGAAAUCUACAGGCUCAACUUGUAGUCUGCACGAGAAACUGCCGGGCUUGAGUAUGGGAGAGGUGAGUGGAAUUCCUGGUGUAGCGGUGAAAUGCGUAGAUAUCAGGAGGAACACCUGUGGCGAAAGCGGCUCACUGGACCAUAACUGACGCUGAUGCACGAAAAGCUAGGGGGAGCAAACAGG
rnacentral:rRNA from 1 species